AGUGUUAUAGUUUUGGAGUGCCAUAAAAGCGUUACUUGUAAGCGCGUUUAAUACCUUUUGGAAUCAUUUGACAAAGAUCAAAAACCCACAAAAAACAAGAAUUAAUGAGAACUAGGAUUGGAGUAAUAAUGGUGGCCACGACUGGACUUGAACCAGCGGCCACUACCA
rnacentral:antisense_RNA from 1 species